CAGUAGCCGCGGGAAUACGGAGGGUGCAAGCGUUAAUCGGAAUUACUGGGCGUAAAGCGCACGCAGGCGGUUUGUUAAGUCAGAUGUGAAAUCCCCGAGCUUAACUUGGGAACUGCAUUUGAAACUGGCAAGCUAGAGUCUUGUAGAGGGGGGUAGAAUUCCAGGUGUAGCGGUGAAAUGCGUAGAGAUCUGGAGGAAUACCGGUGGCGAAGGCGGCCCCCUGGACAAAGACUGACGCUCAGGUGCGAAAGCGUGGGGAGCAAACAGGAUUAGAUACCCCGGUAGUCCCUGUCUCUUAUAU
rnacentral:rRNA from 1 species